CUGCCUCUUCCUCCGAACGGCUCUGGCCCCUCUCGCUUCUCCAUCUUCCUACCUUCCCUGCCAUCUGUUCCCGCUGCUCCUGCAGCCUCCCCGCUCUCCUCCCGCCAGGGCCUGUCUGAGCAGACGGGUAUGAGAGCCUCUGAUGAGGGCUCGUCACAGGAGCUGCUCAGCAAUCCUCAUCUCUGCUUCGUGUUCCUGAUGGCGUUAGAGAGUAUUUGCUGAAGUGUUUCCCACAGUACUGUAAGCACACCUGAACAAGCUGGAGCUCUGGCCUUGCAAGCUCUCCUGGUUCUGAGGACAGGCACUGCUUCUUUGAUUUUUAUUGUUGUUCAUUCAGUUCCAGGCUGUUGUUCGAAUGGGAUUGGCCUGCUGACUGGAGAACAAUGCUGGUCUUCUUUAUUCAAGUUUGUUUGCCACAUUCUAUAGCCUGUAUUGUCAGAAAAAAGCCACAUCCUGUUGGAUUCUCAUCCUUCUUGACUGAAACCCACUGAGAGAAGAGCUUUUCAAAAUAAAACCACUUCAUUAAAAAUUGCUCUGAAGUGCUCUCAGCAAGGACAGCUGUGAAAAUCUUUUGCAUCUGACCACCUUUACAAGUUUGUCUACAUCAGUCAGAUUUCUGCAGAGCAGGAGCAAAGAUCAGUGAGAGUCUCUGCUAUUCUGUGCAUAAGAACCCAUGGGUGCCUGGAAAAGACAGAGAACCUCAUUCAACUAAGCAGAACUUCCAAAUUCAUUAAACCGAGAGCCACAGAUUUAUGGAAGGCACGUGGCAAACACAUCCUUUUCAAUAACAAUAAGCUGAUUUUUAUAUCAGAAAAAUAACAGAAAUAUUUUUAAUUUGGAUAUUUUCAGAGCGUUAUUCAAUGUCAACCAUUGAUGUGUAAAAAUCCAUUAUUGUUUGCAAACAUCACCAUGAUACUUUGCAGUUUAAAUAUGAUCCCAUCUCAGUUGGAAGCACCUGCAGUACAAGUCCAGAAUGAGGCAUGUAGAUCAGUAGCAGAGCCCAUAAUAUUUCUUGAUCUCA